UACGAGGGGGGCAAGUGUUGUUCGGAAUCACUGGGCGUAAAGGGCGCGUAGGCGGGCUUCUAAGUUAGGUGUUUAAUCCCAGGGCCCAACCCUGGUCAGGCACCGAAAACUGGGAGUCUUGAAUAGUGGAGAGGACGAUGGAAUUGGGGGUGUAGCGGUGGAAUGCGUAGAGAUCCCCAAGAACACCAGUUGCGAAGGCGGUCGUGUGGACACAUAUUGACGCUGAGGCUCGAAAGCAUGGGGAGCAAACAGG
rnacentral:rRNA from 1 species